rnacentral:lncRNA from 1 species
ACAGAGCAAAGUUAAAUCCCUAAGUCCUUGAAAUGGUUAGUACAAUGUUAUGAUGUCAUGAUGUUAUGAUGUUAUGAGGUUAAAUAAAUAACAAGCACAAGCAAGUCACACAACCAUCAUUCCUAGGUUUUAAGGCUUGCAUGAGUUCUUAGGUAAGUACCCUCCCCACUGAAGUUUAGUUGGUUCAACCUGUCCUAGAAUAGUAACCGGGUUCUAAAAGGAUCUCAGAUCAUCGACCUUCCUUUAAGUCCACUUCAGUGCAACACCAAGUGGUUGACCGAAGCUUCCCUAAAGUCC